rnacentral:rRNA from 1 species
GAUUGAACGCUGGCGGCAGGCCUAACACAUGCAAGUCGAGCGGAUGAAGUGAGCUUGCUCACGGAUUCAGCGGCGGACGGGUGAGUAAUGCCUAGGAAUCUGCCUGGUAGUGGGGGAUAACGUUUCGAAAGGAGCGCUAAUACCGCAUACGUCCUACGGGAGAAAGCAGGGGACCUUCGGGCCUUGCGCUAUCAGAUGAGCCUAGGUCGGAUUAGCUAGUUGGUGAGGUAAUGGCUCACCAAGGCUACGAUCCGUAACUGGUCUGAGAGGAUGAUCAGUCACACUGGAACUGAGACACGGUCCAGACUCCUACGGGAGGCAGCAGUGGGGAAUAUUGGACAAUGGGCGAAAGCCUGAUCCAGCCAUGCCGCGUGUGUGAAGAAGGUCUUCGGAUUGUAAAGCACUUUAAGUUGGGAGGAAGGGCAGUAAGCUAAUAUCUUGCUGUUUUGACGUUACCGACAGAAUAAGCACCGGCUAACUCU